ACGAGCGGCGGACGGGUGAGUAAUGUCUGGGAAACUGCCUGAUGGAGGGGGAUAACUACUGGAAACGGUAGCUAAUACCGCAUAACGUCGCAAGACCAAAGAGGGGGACCUUCGGGCCUCUUGCCAUCAGAUGUGCCCAGAUGGGAUUAGCUAGUAGGUGGGGUAAUGGCUCACCUAGGCGACGAUCCCUAGCUGGUCUGAGAGGAUGACCAGCCACACUGGAACUGAGACACGGUCCAGACUCCUACGGGAGGCAGCAGUGGGGAAUAUUGCACAAUGGGCGCAAGCCUGAUGCAGCCAUGCCGCGUGUGUGAAGAAGCCUUCGGGUUGUAAAGCACUUUCAGCGAGGAGGAAGGUGGUGAACUUAAUACGUUCAUCAAUUGACGUUACUCGCAGAAGAAGCACCGGCUAACUCCGUGCCAGCAGCCGCGGUAAUACGGAGGGUGCAAGCGUUAAUCGGAAUUACUGGGCGUAAAGCGCACGCAGGCGG
rnacentral:rRNA from 1 species